rnacentral:rRNA from 1 species
GACGAACGCUGGCGGCGUGCCUAAUACAUGCAAGUAGAACGCUGAAGAGAGGAGCUUGCUCUUCUUGGAUGAGUUGCGAACGGGUGAGUAACGCGUAGGUAACCUGCCUGGUAGCGGGGGAUAACUAUUGGAAACGAUAGCUAAUACCGCAUGAAAUUGCUUAUCGCAUUAUAAUUGAUUGAAAGAUGCAAUUGCAUCACUACCAGAUGGACCUGCGUUGUAUUAGCUAGUUGGUGAGGUAACGGCUCACCAAGGCGACGAUACAUAGCCGACCUGAGAGGGUGGUCGGCCGCACUGGGACGGAGACACGGCCCAGACGCCUACGGGGGGCAGCAGUAGGGAAACGUCGGGCAGGGGGGGAACCCUGACCGAGCAACGCCGAGUGAGUGAAGAAGGUUGUCGGAUCGUAAAGCUCGGUUGUAAGGGAAGAAAGGGUGUGAGAGUGGAAAGUUCACACUGUGACGGUAUCUUACCAGAAAGGGACGGCUAACUACGUG